GAUGAAGAACGCAGUGAAAUGCGAUAAGUAGUGUGAAUUGCAGAAUUCAGUGAAUCAUCGAAUCUUUGAACGCACAUUGCGCCCUUUGGUAUUCCUUAGGGCAUGCCUGUUCGAGCGUCAUUUAAACCUUCAAGCUAAGCUUGGUGUUGGGUGACUGUCCGCUUCACUGCGGACUCGCCUCAAAAUUAUUGGCGGCCGGUACAUUGGCUUCGAGCGCAGCAGAAACGCGAACUCGGGCCCGUCGUAUUGGCUCCCAGAAGCUAUCUUCACAAUUUUGACCUCGGAUCAGGUAGGGAUACCCGCUGAACUUAAGCAUAUCAAUAGCGGAGGA
rnacentral:misc_RNA from 1 species